rnacentral:lncRNA from 1 species
ACUGCACUCCACUCUGGGGGACAGGCCAAGACUCUGUCUUAGAAAAAAAAGUCCUCCUUUUCAGUCAAGUUCUCACUUAGUUGCGAGUGUGACUAAAAUAUAGGGCCUUAGCAUCACUCUUAGUUACCAUUGUUUUGGGUUCCGGGUUUAGCACGUCAUUCCCAUUGUUUUGGGUUUCUGGUUUAGCACGUCACUCCCAUUGUUUUGGGUUCUGGUUUUAGCACGUCACUCCCAUUGUUUUGGGUUUCUGGUUUAGCAGGAUGCUCCCAUUGUUUUCAGUUUCUGAUUUAGCAGGAUGCUCCCAUUGUUUUGGGUUUCUGGUUUAGCAGGUCACUCCCAUUGUUUUGGGUUCCAGUUUUAGCACGUCACUCCCGUUGUUUUGGGUUCCAGUUUUAGCACGUCACUCCCAUUGUUUUGGGUUUCUGGUUUAGCAGGUCACUCCCAUUGUUUUCGGUUUCUGGGUUAGCAGGAUGCUCCCAUUGUUUUGGGUUUCUGGUUUAGCAGGUCACUCCCAUUGUUUUGGGUUCCGGUUUUAGCACAUCACUCCCAUUGUUUUCAUUUCCGGUUUUAGCACAUCACUCCCAUUGUUUUGGGUUCCAGUUUUAGCAAGUCACUCCCAUUGUUUUGGGUUCUGAUUUUAGUGCACGUCACCCCCAUUGUUUUGGGUUCCAGUUUUAGUAUAUCACUCUCAUUGUUUUGGGUUUCUGGUUUAGCACGUCACUCCCAUUGUUUUGGGUUUCUGGUUUCGCAGGUCACUCCCAUUGUUUUGGGUUCUGGUUUAAGCACAUCACUCCCAUUGUUUUCAUUUCCGCUUUUGGCACGUCACUCCCAUUGUUUUGGGUUCCAGUUUUAGCAAGUCACUCCCAUUGUUUUGGGUUUCUUGUUUAGCACGUCACUCCCAUUGUUUUGGGUUCUGGUUUUAGUGCACGUCACUCCCAUUGUUUUGGGUUCCCGUUUUAGUACAUCACUCCCAUUGUUUUGGGUUUCUGGUUUAGCAUGUCACCCCCAUUGUUUUGGGUUUCCGGUUUAGCAUGUCACUCAUAGGUUAUGGUGUCCUUACGGUUGCCCUUUUUUUUUAAUCUCUUGUCAUUCCAGUUGAAGAGAUACCAUUUGAUAUUUUAGAGAUGCCUGCAUGCAAACUCUUAAAACAUUUGAGUAAGUACAGUGCAACAGGGAGACUCUUAUGACUGUUGGGAUAACACCAAGAAUUUGGUAUAUGCUCCUAACUCAGGGUCCCCAUAAAUCAAACCACCUAAAAUCAAAUAGAUUAAAGAAUGAAUUAGAUAAAGAGUUUACUUGCUUAACUAAGUGGGUUUUUUUGUUAAUUCCCUACAACCAAAUUUUUAUAAUACCCCAUGUUUUCUCCACAUGCUGUAAGUGUUAGCAGCUGCACAGAUACUUAAGAUAAGUGUCUCAUGAUAGUAGAGAAGUCUUGAUCUGUGAUCGUGGGAAAAGCUGUUCACAUUAAGGAUGCCAUCUUCUUCUGGGGGGAACUGUCCUUGUUAGCUUUACCUUAAGGGUUCCAAUGGGUAUAUGGUUCCAAGUGUGGAAGGACCUUUCUGAGUUGUGAGACUAUGAACCCAAAGUUUAAGGUUUUAAAGUUUUGCUGUCAUGUGGAUGGCAAGGGCAGUCCUUCUCUGAUGUUCUCAGAAGAUCCAGUCAUCAGAUUCCAGAUUUUGAAGGAGUUGACUGUCCUCAGCGAACCAUAAAAGGCUUUCUUUACCUGGUGAAAAUACACUUCAGGGUAAUAAUGUACUGUUUUAACAUCAACUCUCUCGCAUGGAAGAGCUUUUAUACAAUCAGAAAACAUGCACUGAAAAUGACAACUGAAU